rnacentral:rRNA from 1 species
UACCAGCACCCCGAGUGGUCGGGACGAUUAUUGGGCCUAAAGCAUCCGUAGCCGGUUUUACAAGUCCUCCGUUAAAUCCAGCUGCUUAACAGAUGGGCUGCGGAGGAUACUAUAAGACUAGGAGGCAGGAGAGGCAAGCGGUACUCAGUUGGGUAGGGGUAAAAUCCGUUGAUCCAUUGAAGACCACCAGUGGCGAAGGCGGCUUGCCAGAAUGCGCUCGACGGUGAGGAUGAAAGCUGGGGGAGCAAACCGG